GGUGGGGUUCCCGAGCGGCCAAAGUGAGCAGACUGUAAAUCUGCCGUCAUCGACUUCGAAGGUUCGAAUCCUUCCCCCACCACCA
rnacentral:tRNA from 1 species